AUAUGUGCGUGCGGUGUUGGAGGACAGAUGACGGAAAACUCGUCGCACUUUGACCUGCAACCUUUUUAUACACAGUCUGCAACAUGCAUUUUACUGACGGCCGUUUCACUGAUGCAUCAGCGGUGCUGAAACGAAAACCUGAAUCUGUGGAUGCCAGGAAUUAUUAAACAUCUGUACUCAACUGCAGUUUCUUCCACUCUAACUGAGAUGUGAUGGUGAACCACGUUCAGAACGUCCAUGAACACAGCACGCUGGAACCUGUUACAACAUACCUUAUAUAUACCUUGAUUAGUGGUCCAGUCUGCAGUGGUGCUGGUUGGUGCCUGGUUUAAUUUGAUUUCAGUGCCUCCAGAAAUAAUAUAUUGUGGAGGUAAAUUUUCCAGAUUGUGCAAAUAAUAAUUUUAUAAUUGAAAAUGCAUCACACCAACAUUUGUACUGAAGUAAAUCUGGAGUAAAGAUUCUGUUUUGAAAUAACCAUUUUGGAGAUUAAGAGUAAAAACACAUGAACAACAUUUUACAAAUAAGAAAACACAGUACUAGCUUCACGAAGAUUUAAUUUAUUGCAGGGCUGUUUUACUGGACUGUAACAGUUUUAGCUUGGUGUAACCUAUUAACAGAAACUAUUAUUUAAUGUAGAUGGAUAUUCUUGCGCAAACAAAAGCCAAUGCCACUUUUUACUCACAAGGUGGCAGCGUUGGCUCACAAUACAAGAAGAAUAGUCUUUUCUUCUGGGUUUUUUCACAAAUAUACAACUUGUGAACUUCAUGAGCUGCCUUUUCCACAGGUUUCUCUCGGUAGUUCUGCAUUUCAACCACGAUGGAAGCUGAGAGGUUGCUGUGAUGUGCAUAUUCUAUAAACAUGUUUUUCCUUUCCAAAGCAUACGCAUCAGCCCUCAUGGAGUCAACUGCACCUGCUCCGCUUAGCAGAUCAGCCAAAAGAUCCUCAUGGAUGGAUGAGGCAGUCUGCCUUUGUCGGUUAACGGAUUAACACAGGACAUAAAUGUGAAACCAGCACAGAAGUCUUGGUUCGCGGUUUUCAGGUUACAUCUUUAUUAAUGAAGGCAAAGGCAUUUGUCUAUUUGUAAGAUAUCUAUCUGUAUGUAUUUUCAUGUGGAGCCAGUAAAUUUUAUGUAAAAUAUUUUUUAUUAAUAAAAUCUUGAGAAUUGUA